rnacentral:tRNA from 1 species
GCCCGGUUAGCUCAGUCGUAGAGCGUUAGGCUUUUAACCUAAACGGUCGUGGGUUCGAGCCCCACAUCGGGCG